rnacentral:rRNA from 1 species
AGCAGCCGCGGUAAUUCCAGCUCCAAUAGCGUAUAUUAAAGUUGUUGCAGUUAAAAAGCUCGUAGUUGAAUUUCGGGAUUGACGUGACGGUCGUGCCUUAAGGGGUAUGAACUGUCGCCGUUGAUUUCUCACCUUCUGGAGAAGCUCGAUGUCCUUAAUUGGAUGUCUUGUGGAACCAGGACCUUUACCUUGAAAAAAUUAGAGUGUUUAAAGCAGGCAUUUUGCUCGAAUACAUUAGCAUGGAAUAAUAGAAUAGGACGGCAUGGUUCUAUUUUGUUGGUUUCUAGGAUCACCGUAAUGAUUAAUAGGGAUAGUUGGGGGCAUUAGUAUUCAAUUGUCAGAGGUGAAAUUCUUGGAUUUAUUGAAGACUAACUACUGCGAAAGCAUUUGCCAAGGAUGUUUUCAUUAAUCAAGAACGAAAGUUAGGGGAUCGAAGACGAUCAGAUACCGUCGUAGUCUUAACCAUAA